GACGGUUGGAUGCAGAAUCCCACAGCUGGACUUCAGAGUUGUUGAGUCCAACUGCAACAUGACGACCAUCAGGAGCCCAGUUGAUACUUGUGACAGGUCCCUUCUCCUCAUCAAUGGUCACAAGCUCAGAUGUAGAACCAGUGGAAGCAUCCCACAAGUAGACAGUGUGGUCCAACGCUAUGGCUAAGACAUUUGCACUUCCCCAGUCCAGCAAGUUGAGGUAGAAAUCGUCAACAAUGUCAGGUGCAUCCAAGGUUCUCUCAGAAGUCUGUUAAUCACAACAGAAAGUUUAGCAACAGAUCAAUACAACUCUAAUGCAGCAACCAGUAAGUGAGCUUUAAGGAUCAAACGCAAUAAAUACAGUACAUACCUGAGGAAUGUAUCGACGAGGCUUUACAGAUUUGGGUUGUUGGUGAAGAGAAGCAGAGUGAUUGCUCGGAAGCAGUUCGACAGGAGCCUGAGGUUUGUUUCUGAAGGCGAGAAUCCUUGUGUGGUUCAAGUUCAUGGUCUCAGCCAAUUGCUUCCUGUAGGCCUCUUUGGAUGGUGAACUUACCGUUGCAGAUUGAUCCUUACCUUUUCUUUCUUCAGUGAGGGCAAAGUGAGCAUAGUCAAAAUUCAUCGCUGAUCUAUUCGGUAUGAACCUGUCCAGCUGGUAGAAGAUAAAAGCAAAUCAGUACAAUUCAUUCGAUAUCACAAAUCCAAUUUAUGCAAGAAACAAUCAAUCAAUUGGAAAGACAUGAUUUUUCUUAUAACAAAACCAACAAUUCGUUCAUACAGUAUCUGAAUAAAGAUUCAUCAAUGAUAUGGGUCAAACAAUUUUGGAUUCAGAUGAACAAGUUGUUAAUCAAAACACUAAUUCUGUAUCAUAAACAUGGUAUUGAAUCUGAAAAAUUAAAGAGCACCCACACAAUUCGAAUCCUGAUUCUCAACAGAGUACGGAAACAGGUCAAAUCUGAAUGAUUGAAGAAGGAUACUUACAUUUUCCUUGGAAUUUUUUCUGGGAAGAAAGUGUUCUUGAAGUGGGCACCGAUUCAAACCUGCAUCCAUUAUCACUAAACACAAAGAAAAUCCCAAAAUACAAACAAACAGAAAACAAGAAUAGCGAUAGUAUACGAAACGGAUUAGAAGAUAUAAUGAGUAAACGAAAUUAGAUAAAGAUGAGCCUGCAGAGAAGGGAUCGUUAGUAAAUUCGAGCAGAGAGAUCAGAGCAGAGAGAGCGAAGAAUUGUUGGUGGCUGAUGAUUGAUGAGAGAUGAGAGAGCAGAUUGAUGAAGUGAGUGAAAAGGUACGAAAUUUUGGGUUGCUUAUAAAGGGGUAGAGCCAAUUUAGGGUUUUGGAGGACUCUAAUUUCUAUAAUCGGAAAGUCGGUAACGGCUAUAUUUCUGAGAGAGCCGUUGAUCAAUUACGGAAAAUGCCCUCUUUCCCUGAAACAAUUAGCUUUUUUAUGUCUCAUUUUAACAUUUGUCUAUUAGACAAAAACAGAGACAUGUAACAAAAAUAAAAAAACAUUAAAAUACUUAUAGAUAUUAUACAAAACAAAUAAAACACUGCUUACCACUCACUCAAAAAAGAUACUGAAAUAACUAUUGGUACAAAAAAGAGGUUAACACUCACAUAAAUACCACAAUUACCUUUAAUCUAGAAUUAUUACUGAAAAAAAACAAAUACAAUAGUGAAAAAGUUUCAUACGGUAAAUAGACCAUAAUAACAAUUUAUCAUCUACCUAAUACCAUCCAAAAUUAGUUUCAAAUUGUAUACGAGAACCAUCCAACGUAUUUCGAUGUAUGGUCCUUGUAAAUAAUAAUUUUUGUAUUAACCUCGAUAAUAUUUGGUUAGGUUAUUGUGUGAUUGAAUAUUUGCUUUAUGGUUAAAUAAUGGUUAUUGUGUGAUCGGUAUUUUUCACCUAUAAUAUUGUUUUAGUAUUAUUUUAAUCAUAUAAAAAAUUUAUAUCCAAAAAAAGCAUUUGUUAAUCAAUUCAUUAACCUGAAAACAUAACAAGUGGUUUAAAAACAUAAAACCAAAAUCUUCUAAAAUCCCUGAAAUUACAUAAGCUAGCGGAAAAAAUAAAAUCUUCCAAAAUCCCUAAUCGAACACAUGUUUCUACACACUAAUGUGAUUAGGUUAGUGUGGUUUCAAUGUCUAUUUUGAUGUAGUUACAAUUAUCAUCUUACAGUUUACAGUACUUAAUGCUCCUGCUUCUUGUAUCAUCUGACAUAUAUAAUCAAGAUCUUUCUUUCUAUUCAAAUGCAAGCAAAUAAGUUUGACUCAACAAUAUAUAUCAUUUACAUAUAUAUAAUUGUACAAUAUGCACUUUUCUUGUCACUACAAUUCAUGAAGAAUGAAUCAGAUGCAAAAAAAAUGAAUAUUUUGCAUCUGUAUCAUGGGUUUCCUUGUCCGUCAGUCUUCACAGCUUCAACGAAUACGAUUCACGUGAGAAAAUGGCUCGGAAACUGCUUUUGGAGCAGCUUUUUUGGCGGUCUCUGGUACUCCAAAAACAUUCCAGAACCUCAGAGUCUCAUCUCCUGCUGCUGAAGCUACGGUACAACCAUCUGGACUCUGUAAGAAAUACAACACAAACAACACAAGUUUUAGGACUAAAGACCUCAAACAUCUCCAACUACUUUCAACAGUUAAAAAUUGAUUUAGUUGUUUUCCUUUACCUGGGCCAUAUAUAGAACUCUUGAUGUAUGACCAGUGAGCUCAGCCAUUUUCACCAUGGAUGGAUACUUCCAAAGUGUGAGCUGAUUCUGUGUAAACCCGUGUGAGCUAAGCAACUCUCUUUCAUUCUUGCUCCAUAACAACGAACAAACUUGGGAACCAGUGUCUACUGAAUUCAAGCAAGCCCCAGUGUGAGUAUUCCAGAACUUGAUCGUCCUGUCUCCUCCACCACCACCAGUUGCAAGCAAAUUCGCUUGGAAAGGGCACCACGCAAGAGCCUUCACAGCAGAUGUAUGUUCCUCAAGCCUGUGCAGCCAUUGUGUGGUUGAGUUUGAGGAAGCGACAGAACGAUCCCAGAUGUGUACCACAUUGUCGUUGCCACCACUUGCUAGUUGUUGUCCAGAUCCUGACCACUUGAGCCCACAAACUUCUUGAGUGUGACCUCUGUAAGUUUCCACAAUGGGUGAUCUGAUCCUCACAUCAUUGUUGAUGAUCAGUCCAUCCAUUCCUCCAGUAGUAAGGAUGUGAUUGUUCCAUGCCAGUGAUCCUACUCGUGACUGGUGACCACCCUUCAAUGUUCUCAGCUGCAAGUAUAUGAUAAAACACAUGAGACUAAGAACACCGGAUAUUAUAUCUCAACAUAAAAGAGAGAGAGUAGUAAUUACUUGACGGUUGGAUGCAGAAUCCCACAGCUGGACUUCAGAGUUGUUGAGUCCAACUGCAACAUGACGACCAUCAGGAGCCCAGUUGAUACUUGUGACAGGUCCCUUCUCCUCAUCAAUGGUCACAAGCUCAGAUGUAGAACCAGUGGAAGCAUCCCACAAGUAGACAGUGUGGUCCAACGCUAUGGCUAAGACAUUUGCACUUCCCCAGUCCAGCAAGUUGAGGUAGAAAUCGUCAACAAUGUCAGGUGCAUCCAAGGUCCUCUCAGAAGU
rnacentral:lncRNA from 1 species